AGCAGCCGCGGUAAUUCCAGCUCCAAUAGCGUAUAUUAAAGUUGUUGCAGUUAAAAAGCUCGUAGUUGAAUUUCGAAAUUUUUUUAUCGGUUGAAUCAACAGGUUCGUACUGAUUUUAAGAAUUUCUACCUUCUGGAGAACCUUAAUGUCAUUUAUUUGAUGUUUUGGGAAACCAGGACUGUUACCUUGAAAAAAUUAGAGUGUUUAAAGCAGGCUUAUGUCUGAAUAUAUUAGCAUGGAAUAAUGAAAUAGGACGGCAUGGUUCUAUUUUGUUGGUUUCUAGGAUCACCGUAAUGAUUAAUAGGGAUAGUUGGGGGCAUUAGUAUUCAAUUGUCAGAGGUGAAAUUCUUGGAUUUAUUGAAGACUAACUUCUGCGAAAGCAUUUGCCAAGGAUGUUUUUCAUUAAUCAAGAACGAAGUUAGGGGAUCGAAGACGAUCAGAUACCGUCGUAGUCUUAACCUAUAAACUAUGCCGACUAGGAAUCGGACGAAGUAUUUUUAAUGACUCGCUCGGCGCCUUA
rnacentral:rRNA from 1 species